CCGCUGACUUCUCCCACAGCUCCCAUCUCCCGGCAGAGCCACUGUGUUGAUUUUAUUCUUUCCCAAGUGCACCAAAGAUUUACUAUUCUUAGCGCUGAGGAUGAGGUCUCAAGCGAAACGCUCUCCAUCCAUCACUACAGGCAAGCAGGGGAAAACCAAGAAGCCAGGCUCCUGCUAUGGAGAGUCAACUUGGGUUCAUGUCCAGGCUCCACUAGCUGUGAGAUACACGGUAUCUAACGUUCUCGAGGUCUGGUCUGCCCAUCUCAAAGAUACCAAGGCAUCUCAUAAGGUCACCGUGGGAAUUAAAUGACAGGACGUGUAUCAGAUGCCUAGUCCAGCAUUGGACCGAUAUAAGCUCAAAGGCAAACACCGUGAGGGUCCACCAGAACUUAGUCAUCUCCAAGCCCGAACAAUGAGUUGUAAUGGAUGGCAUCUUUGUCUUCAUUCUGCAAAGGCCGAGGGGCCUGCUUUGUGCAACACAGUGUCCCUUCGUGCUGCAAGGACAGGAACAGCGUGCGUGCCUGGGCUCUAACAACAACCGCUUCUUUUACCCGAUGCUCCAGCUCAAUGCUUACUAACCUCAGCAGAGGUCUUGUUCCUGGCACAAGAUCAACCUCGAUGCUUGCCCUCUCUAUUUCUCUUGUGCCCACACACCCAGGCAAAUAGAGUACACAUUUAGCAGCCUUAAACAGUAGGUCUCUGUGUGGAUGAGAACUCAGGCUCAGGCUGGGCAGUGCUAUUUCAGUGCACCAUCUCAUCUGUAGCUCCUGCUAAAGAAUAAAUUAAAAUGAAUACAAAGUCUUCAGUUUCAGCCUGUUUAUAAUUAUUAUUUGGGUUGAAAGCAUAGUCACAAUUGUCUGAGCCUCUAAAACGUACAAUGGAAGAAAAUAUCUACCUUCAGAAACCAAAGUAUCAGUUAAUUCCAUGCCUGGAUAAGUGCCUGUUUCUACAAAAGCAAGCACAAUAAUAAUUUCAUCUACCAACAUCAUGAAGCCCUUUCCAGCCAGAGGAAGCCCAACACUUUGGAAUUGCGUAGCUAUGUUGCUGCCCUUGGAUAUUUCAACUUUGCGCCUAACGUAGAGAAUUCACCAACAACACCCGACCAGGGCCGAAUGAAAAUGUUUCUGACUGAAGGAAAGAAGGCAAUCCCAAGAAUAUUUAAACGAUUGCUUAACCAAGCCCACCAUGGUGACACGUGCCUUUGACCCCGUCACUCAAGAGGCAGAAGCAGAAAGAUUGCUACAAGUUCCAGGCCAGUCUGAUCUAUACAGUGAAUUCUUAGCCAGUCAAGGCUGUAUGGUAAGUCACUGUCUCAAAACAACAACAACAAAGCAUUUCCUAACAAGAACAGACACACACAAAACACACAGCCUGCCAAGAAAGCAGAGCUAACCCCACUAAAUGACAUCUGACAUUGCCUUGGCAGAGUGAUCUUUGAAAAAAGAAGCCGCAAUCUCUCAGGGACAUUCAUGUUUCAGUCACACCCAGAAUUUGGGGCCUUUUGCAAUUUGUUCUUUCCUUUCCUGCCAACACGAUAAGAAUAACGUUUCUUUUUGUUUGUUUUGUUGAGACAGUCCUGCUAUGUAUCUCAGAGUGGCCUAACUCAGGACCUUCCGGCUUCAGCACUCCAGCUAGCUGAGGAUUACAAGCAUUUGCCCCCAGGUGGAUGUGGAAGCCAGAGGCCAGCUUCAGGGAUCAUGUCUCAGGAGACAUCCACCUUGUUCUUUUGAGACUGCGUCUCUCACUGGGACUUUAGGUGAGGCUGGCUGGCCAGGGAGCCCCAGAGAUCUGCCCGGCUCCACCUCCCCAAGCACACACCAUGCCAGGCUGUUCGCAUGGGUUCUUGGGUCAAACUCAAGUCUUCAAGCGUACAUGGCAAGUGCCAUCUCCCCAGCUCCAGCUCAUAUUUUUGAAUGGAUAAACAGUGAGAAGCUGGGAAACUUCAGCAAGUGCUGUAACAUUUAUGAUACUGGCUAAAGAAAAGCCUCCUCAAACUGGAAGCUUUCAGGAACUUGCUAAACAGCAGCCCUGGAAUAUCAACCUUCACCAAAGGACGUCAGGAAGGAGCAUGGAGGGGAUACACCAAAACCCAGAGACUCUUCACUGCUAUAAACGGCAGAAUGUCCAAUGUGGACCACCAUAGAAACUCCAUCUAGGAUGGGUCAGUGAAGGUCCAUUGUCUUCAUGUGCGUUACAAUAGCUUAGUGACCUGCCUCAGCCAGGGGUCUGUCGACAGUACCCUCAAAAGAGUCACUUUAUAGUACGGACAUUAGAAAACGUCCCAGGAAAGCUAUGGGCAGUAUUAUUCACAGAGGACCUUGGAAGCCUCCAUGGUCCAAUCCUUUCAGAAUACACAGUAGAAGACACUCCAGCCAUGAGAGGCACAAGAAGAUCACAUUUAGUACUGCUUUAAUUUACCCGUGGGGCAUCCUAAUAACAAAGUGAGUAGAUCCGAAGUCUAAGAAGAAAUGGACCUGCUAACUUCUACACAGUAUGCCAUCCAAAAAACGGAAUUCCCUACAUUUUUCAAACAAGUCUCAACAAUGCACUAAGACCCUUUAGGAUUGGACAUCCGCCUCAGAGUCAACAAUAGCCUGGAGAGAUGCCAGAAGCUUGCGGCUCUGUCUGUCAUACGUGGUCAGCUCCAUAGCGGUCCUCUACAUUUGCAAGGUGCAGCCCUCUGGGCUCUGGCUGCUGCCCAUCUUGCUGUGAAGAUAAACCCAAUGGUGGCGGAAUGUGACGGCUGGGCCAGUUACAGAGUGGCUCUGCAGGACUUGGCAAAGGGAAGACACCUAGCCAAAAGCUCCCUUUCUUCUUAACUCCCGGUCUCCUAGGUCAGAAACAGCUCAGCCUCAGCAGAGGGCAAGAGACUGAGCUGUUUAUACAGGUGCCGCUUUCCAGAGGCCCCAACAGGAGCAAGCCCCUCCCUCCCACAGAGCUGGCUGCAGAUCAGAGGCCUGGUGACUCCAUAGGGGAGCUCUGACGGGGUGGGUGGAUCCUGCCCCAAAGAUGGGCACUAGGCCUGGGGAAAGCGAAUAAAACCCGGAGACUUCUCUUGGAA